CCCUUAGAUGUUCUGGGCCGCACGCGCGCUACACUGUUCGACGCAGCGAGUCUUAACCUUGACCGAAAGGUUUGGGUAAUCUUCAGCAAAGUCGAACGUGAUGGGGAUCGAUCAUUGCAAUUAUUGAUCGUGAACGAGGAAUUCCUAGUAAGUGCAAGUCAUCAGCUUGCGCUGAUUACGUCCCUGCCCUUUGUACACACCGCCCGUCGCUGCAACUGAUUGGGUGACCUGGUGAACAUCUUGGACCGGCCCACUCAAUUUCGAGAGGACUGGAAAAGGCCGUAAAUCAGGUACAUCUAGAAAUUGCAAAAGUCGUAACA
rnacentral:rRNA from 1 species